GUUGAGAAUUUGAAAGUAGAAGGCAGCUUGGGUGAAAGUGAUCAUGAAAUCAUAGAGUUUGCAAUUCUAAGGAAGGGUAGAAGGGAGAACAGCAAAAUAGAGACAAUGGAUUUCAGGAAGGCGGAUUUUGGUAAGCUCAGAGAGCUGAUAGGUAAGGUCCCAUGGGAAUCAAGACUGAGGGGAAAAACAACUGAGGAGAGCUGGCAGUUUUUCAAAGGGACACUAUUAAGGGCCCAAAAGCAAGCUAUUCCGCUGGUUAGGAAAGAUAGAAAAUGUGGCAAAAGACCACCUUGGCUUAACCACGAGAUCUUGCAUGAUCUAAAAAAUAAAAAGGAGUCAUAUAAAAAAUGGAAACUAGGACAGAUUACAAAGGAUGAAUAUAGGCAAACAACACAGGAAUGCAGGGGCAAGAUUAGAAAGGCAAAGGCACAAAAUGAGCUCAAACUAGCUAAGGGAAUAAAGGGGAACAAGAAGACUUUUUAUCAAUACAUUAGAAGCAAGAGGAAGACCAAAGACAGGGUAGGCCCACUGCUUAGUGAAGAGGGAGAAACAGUAACAGGAAACUUGGAAAUGGCAGAGAUGCUUAAUGACUUCUUUGUUUCGGUCUUCACCGAGAAGUCUGAAGGAAUGCCUAUCCUAGUGAAUGCUAAUGGGAAGGGGGUAGGUUUAGCAGAUAAAAUAAAAAAAGAACAAGUUAAAAAUCACUUAGAAAAGUUAGAUGCCUGCAAGUCACCAGGGCCUGAUGAAAUGCAUCCUAGAAUACUCAAGGAGCUAAUAGAGGAGGUAUCUGAGCCUCUAGCUAUUAUCUUUGGAAAAUCAUGGGAGACGGGAGAGAUUCCAGAAGACUGGAAAAGGGCAAAUAUAGUGCCCAUCUAUAAAAAGGGAAAUAAAAACAACCCAGGAAACUACAGACCAGUUAGUUUAACUUCUGUGCCAGGGAAGAUAAUGGAGCAAGUAAUUAAGGAAAUCAUCUGCAAACACUUGGAAGGUGGUAAGGUGAUAGGGAACAGCCAGCAUGGAUUUGUAAAGAACAAAUCAUGUCAAACCAAUCUGAU
rnacentral:lncRNA from 1 species